rnacentral:rRNA from 1 species
GCUUUACACAUGCAAGUCGAACGGCAGCACGGGAGCUUGCUCCUGGUGGCGAGUGGCGAACGGGUGAGUAAUGCAUCGGAACGUACCCAGUAGUGGGGGAUAGCCCGGCGAAAGCCGGAUUAAUACCGCAUAUUUCCUGAGGGAGAAAGCGGGGGACCUUCGGGCCUCGCGCUACUGGAGCGGCUGAUGUCGGAUUAGCUAGUUGGUGAGGUAAAGGCUCACCAAGGCGACGAUCCGUAGCUGGUCUGAGAGGAUGAUCAGCCACACUGGGACUGAGACACGGCCCAGACUCCUACGGGAGGCAGCAGUGGGGAAUUUUGGACAAUGGGGGCAACCCUGAUCCAGCCAUGCCGCGUGAGUGAAGAAGGCCUCGGUUGUAAGACUCUUUCUAGGUGGAAAGAAAUACACUACCCCGAACUAACGGGUGGUGGAGUGACGGUACCGAUCAGAAGAAGCACCGGCGUAACUAACGUG